rnacentral:lncRNA from 1 species
CCCAAGAGAUGGUGUAUACAUAGCACUUUGUCAACUGUAAAGUCCUAUGUAGAUAUUGUAAUUUAGCCUUGGCUAGAGAAGGCCUCACAAAGGAGGUAGGGUACAUAAGCCUGAGCUGGAAGAGUAGGUGGCAGGUGGCAGAGGGGUGAGGAGGGCCUUACAGGUGGGGGGGACAUGGGUGCUGCUGGGAGGUUGGAGUGAGCAUGGUCAGGAGACAUGAGUUGGCCCUCCUCACAUCCAACUUGAGAGGUUGGUGCUCACCUCUCCCUUCCACAGAUGAGGAUGCUGGGGGAUCCGAAGGCUGCAGGGGAAUCCAGCGCCUCCGGGGAGGCCAUUCCGGGCAGGCCCGGUCGGGACGGCCCCGCUUGCAUGCCUGAGUGGGAGCCGGCCUUCUGGGCUCUGCUCCGGGGACCCGCCCCGUCCUGGGGACCGGGAGCCAGGACCGACCCCUCCGUCGACCCCGUCCGCGGGCAGUGAGCUGUGCCGGCAG